CGAAAGCCUGACGGAGCAACGCCGCGUGGGGGAAGAAGGUUCUUGGAUUGUAAACCCCUUUUCUCAGGGAAGAAGUUCUGACGGUACCUGAGGAAUCAGCCUCGGCUAACUCCGUGCCAGCAGCCGCGGUAAUACGGAGGAGGCAAGCGUUAUCCGGAAUUAUUGGGCGUAAAGCGUCCGCAGGGGGCGCAUCAAGUCUGCUGUUAAAGGCUGGAGCUUAACUCCGUUAAGGCAGUGGAAACUGAAUAGCUAGAGUGCCGUAGGGGUAGAGGGAAUUCCCGGUGUAGCGGUGAAAUGCGUAGAGAUCGGGAAGAACAUCGGUGGCGAAAGCGCUCUACUGGACGGCAACUGACACUCAGGGACGAAAGCUAAGGUAGCG
rnacentral:rRNA from 1 species